rnacentral:rRNA from 1 species
AGUGAACGCUGGCGGCGUGCCUAAUACAUGCAAGUCGAACGGACAAGUAAGAGCUUGCUCUUAUGAGUUAGUGGCGCACGGGUGAGUAAUGUAUAGCUAAUCUGCCCUACACUAGAGGACAACAGUUGGAAACGGCUGCUAAUACUCUAUACACCUCUCUAGCAUAAGUUAGAUAGGGAAAGUUUUUCGGUGUAGGAUGAGGCUAUAUUGUAUCAGCUAGUUGGUGAGGUAAUGGCUCACCAAGGCUAUGACGCAUAACUGGUCUGAGAGGAUGAUCAGUCACACUGGAACUGAGACACGGUCCAGACUCCUACGGGAGGCAGCAGUAGGGAAUAUUGCUCAAUGGGGGAAACCCUGAAGCAGCAACGCCGCGUGGAGGAUGACACUUUUCGGAGCGUAAACUCCUUUUGUUAGGGAAGAAUAANGACG